rnacentral:sRNA from 1 species
GGCCACUCCAGUGACCGAAUCUCUGGAGUAUCUGAGACCACAAAGCUCCGGAUCUACAAUACAAUUGCUCUGGGCGCCAGCGCUGUAUUUCUAGCUGCUCUUGGUUUUGUGAAGGAAGGCCAAGGACUGACUGGCCUGAUACUCAUGACUGUAGCAACCGCGAUGUUCGGAUUCAAUGGUGGAGGUUUUAUUAAGGUACUCUACAAAUAAUUGAAUAAAAAAUAAAAAAUAAAAAAUAUAAAAUUCCAGUGCGCCGCCCUUGUCUCCCGACAGCACAAUCAUUUUGUCAUGGCAAACGUCCAGUUUCUGCUGUGCCUCUCGAUGCUUCUCUGUCCAAUACUAGUAUCAUUUUUGCUUCGACACGGAACUAUAGCCGAAUGGAGAUUGGUUUUCUUUGUUCACGCCGGAAUUCUUGCAGUUUGUAAUCUUAUAUUUUGUCUGUUGGCCACUGCAAAACCGGCUCCAUGGACAGAUCGGACGUUGAAGCCAUCGGCGUCGAGAAACACACCAUUGUAUACAAUAAAGUAUUGAUUGGAAUGUAAUAUGAACAUUAUUUCGAAAUCAAAAUCUAGAUAGCAAAUGAAUAGAAUUGUCCAGCUUUUAAAGGCGGAGUAGCGCCAGUGGGGAUUUUGUCUAAGUGCACUUAUAAUGAUCUAAAACAACCGGAUAUCAUAAUAAAACUCUCCAAAAAAUUAUAUAUUUUUCAUAAUUUCCGGCCAAAGUUUUGGCUAAUUGCCAAAAUUUAGAAAAAUACGAGCUUUUAAGGAAAUUUAAAGAAAUGUCGCAUGUUUCGACCCCUACAAUGUUUUAAUACAAAUAAUUUAAACAAAAUUAAAACAUAAAAAAUGUAGAAAAAAAAAAUUUUUUUUUGGUCGAUUUCCAAAAUUAUGAGUGGCAAAAACUGAGUAAUUGACACUUUCUGACAGUAAAUAAAAAAUUCUCAGAAAAUUUUUGAAAAGUUUUAUCAUGAUAUAUGGUCAUUUUAGGACCAAAGGAGUGGUUUUUAACAAUUUCCCCACUGGCGCUACUCCACCUUUAAGGAAACCAUCCAAAAAUUAGAGAACUUGAAAGUAUAUUUACAUUGAAUUCCAACUGAAGAUUUUUAGUUUAAAGGUGGAGUACCGAAGUUUGAGACUUUAUUUUUUUAGACCCAAAUUGGUCCAAAACUACCGAAUUUCGUAAUGAGACGUUCUGAAAACUUCUCAAAAAAAAAGUUAUGGCGGCUCAAAGUUCGGCAAAAUCAGGCCCGUUUUUAGCUAAAAUCAAAUUUUUUUCCAACUUCUCGGUGUCGCAACGUCUGGAACUAACUUUAAUUUAUUCAUCACUUCUUAAUAAAUAUUUUGGUUUUUGAGUGGGCGUUUAUUCAUUGAUUUAAGUACAUUUAUGGUCUUUGGGGCACAAAAUGUAACGUUUAUUUGAAGAUGGAAAAAAAUUUGAUUUUAGCUGAAAACUGGCCUUAUUUUGCCGAAUUUCGAACCGCCAUAACUUUUUUUUUGCGAAAUUUUCAGAACGUCUCAUUACGAAAUUCGGUAGUUUUGGACCAAUUUGGGUCUAAAAAGGAAAAGUCUCAAAUUUCGGUACUCCACCUUUAAUAAAAAAAAUUAAUUUUUAUUGAGACAUUUUCAAUUUUACGUUCUACAGUUGUUAUUACAAAUUUCAUAAAGUAUAUAAUUUUCUCAAAUAUUUCAGAGUCUCUAAUAUAUUUUUAGAAGAUUCCAAAUUUCCCUAAAAAUUUCAAAAGAUUCUAGAACGUCUGUGCAAAAAAUGGUGGCACAAAAAUUUUGGAUUUUUGGCAGAAUUUUUAUGGGAUUCCAUAGGAAAUUAAAAAAUAUUUGAGAUUUUAGCUAAAAGUAAGCCAUUUUUUCCAAAACUUUGAGCGGUCAUAACUUUUUUUUUCGAAAAUUUUCACUUUGAAAUUCGGUAGUUUCGGACCAUUUUGGGUCUAAAAAUGGCAAAUUCUCAAAUUUCGGUACUCCACCUUUAACUGCCAGUAUGGUCUAAUCUCGUCUAACACAGUCUAAUUCCAGGCACCAACAAGCUGGUAAAGUCCUCGGAGCUUCUCGAAAUCCAACGAGGAAAGUCCGACGCAGCAAAUGGCAAGCGAGAGGCGACACCUUACCUGGAAAUUCUCACAACUCCAUCUGUCUGGGGUAUAUGGAUUGGUGCUCUGGGAGAUCUUAUAGCCGUCCAACUGAUUCACAUCUACUCACCUGUCUAUUUACACGAUAUUGGAGGCUAUUCAGUGGAGAAGACCGGCUUUGCAGCGGCCGUACCGGUGCUGUUUCAGUUUUUCAUGAAGCUUUUUGCAG